rnacentral:rRNA from 15 species
AAAAUUAAAUAUGACGGAUAGUGCACAAGUAUCGUGAGAGAAAGUUGGAAAUUAGGCACGUUAAUUCCUAUUGUUUUUUGAAAAUACAAUGUUCCUUUUGCAUUAUGAAUCGGUUAGUUAAUUAAAGUAGCAAGCUAAAUUUAAAAAGCGUAAAUAACUACAUAAGUUACUUUUAUUACACACGAAGCCACGUGAUCUAGCCAGAAUCAGACGGAGAAUUAACUAAAAAUUUUUUUGAAGGUCUAACCGGUGUUUUUUGCAAUAAACUCGGGUGAAUUCUGGCUCGGAAUGAAAGGUUAAUCAAACGUGGUAUAGCUUGUUUUCUGCGAAAUUUCUUUUAGGAAAGCGCCCAAUUUCUUGAAUGGUAAAUCACUAGUAAAAUAAGGGUUGUUCAUCCACAUUACUGAGUUUUACUAAAAUAAGAAUAUUCUUUUGGGUAGUUGGAGUAUUUAUGAAAAAAUAAAUACUCAAGAGAGAAACAACUCACAAUGUUUUUUAAGGUUUUAAAAUAAGUCAUUAUUUAUAAGAUUGUUUUUUAAUUAUGAUAACUCAUAUAGUGGGCUUAGAAACAGCCAUCAAUAUCUAAAAACGUAACAGUUUAUGAGUUUAUUGUUAAAAUGCAUCGAAAAUUUAUAGAAAUUUAGACUUUACCGAAAAAGCAUAAUUUAUAAAUAUUAAAUUUGUAGCAGAACGUCUUGUAUUUUAGAACAAAAUUUCGUGAGAAUUUUCUGUUUAUAUCAAGAUUGAUAAUGCCGGUAUCAGUAACACAAAAAGAUUAUAAUAUCUUUCACCUAUAAUUGAAGUUUUAUCUCUUCGCUUGAAUUGGCGAAAUGUUAAACGAAUUCUUAGUUGUCCGUGAACGCGAAAUAACGAUGAAAACAAGUCUUUUUGAAAUGACAAAAAUUAUAAAAAACAUAAUGUAAUAUUUGGGUUGUACAUAUGUUUUCUUUAAUUUUUCUAGAAAAGUUUCUUUCUUGUAUUCGUAAUAAAUCCGAAACGGGUAAAUCAGUUUUAAAGAACUAAGGUGUUAAAUUUAAUAAAAAAUAUGGAACUCGGCAAAUUUUCACUGUAACUUCGGAAAAAAGUGAAACAAAUUAUAACAUAUAAUUUGUUCAUCGAAAAUUAGGGCUAGCGACUGUUUACUAAAAACACAUGAUUAUGCUAAUUCAAUAGAACAUGUAUAUAAUCUGAUUAUUGUCCAAUGCCAUAAGGAUAAAAAGAGUAUUUUGUAUGAUACUUUUAUAAUCUGUGGUAAAUGACCGUAUUAUUCCUGAGUAUGGUAAUGUAGCGAAAUUCCUUGGCUAAUAAAUAUAGUCCCGCAUGAAUAUAAUAACGACUCGCCCACUGUCAUAUUUUUUAGUUUUGUGAAGUUGAAAUUUUGGUGAAGAUUCCAAAAAAACAAUUUAGGACGAAAAGACCCUUUUGACCUUUACUAUACUCAAUUAUUGUAAAAUUUAAUUAUCUUGUUCAGCCUAAAUAAGAAUCUAUAAUGUUUUUUUGCUGAAAGUGAAAAAACUAGGUGCCGUUGAGAGAUUAUUCUUGUUUUUAAAUUUUACUUACUUUUUAGGACAGUAAUUGAUUGGUAGUUUAGUUGGGAUGACUGCCUUUGAAAUAGUAGCAAAGGUGUGCAUUGGUAAAUUCAAACAAAACAUUUUGUUUUUGAGCACAAGAGUAAUAUAUUUGCUAAACUGUUAGAUUGAUAAAUCAAGCAGAGACGAAAGUCGGUUUUAACGAACCAAAUAUUUUGAAUGAAAAAUUAUUUGAUCAUCAGAUAAAAGGUACCAUAGGGAUAACAGAAUAAUGAAAAUCAAGCGAUCAUAGCGACAUUUUCGUUUGUCACCUCGAUGUCGACUUGCUAUAUCCCGGAGCUGAAGUCGGUUCCAAGGGUUUGACUGUUCGUCAAAUAAAAUAGUACACGAGUUGGGUUUAAAACGGCGUAAGCCAGUUUUGUUUCUAUCCGAAUUGUUUUGUAAAAGUAAGACUUUAAUUUUAGUAUGAGAAGACCGAAAAGAAAAAGCCAAUGGUAAAAAAUUAUUUUCCAAGAGUAUCGUUUUGUUGCUACGCUUUUGAGAAUAAAAAUUGACAGAAUCUAUAUUUGAAAUCUCCCUUACUUUUUACUUUUAUAGAAGUUUCACUUCUUUUUUGAUGGUAAUAUACUAAUACCUUGAUCGGUAACUGAUCAUAAAUUUGCAA